rfam:Bacteroides cellulosilyticus CAG:158 genomic scaffold, scf59
ACGUUUUUUUCAUAGAGAUUUAGAUUUAAGGUUAGAAGAAUUGUGGAAGUCGUGAGACUUCCCUUUUUUUCAUCUUAAAGUUUUGCGCUCCUGUAUCUCUCAUGGACCGUUUGAAGGUAGAUUUGCUAAAGUAUACUGAGGUUCAUGUUUUUCACGGGAGAGUGCAGAAGAGAGUCGCUUCGUGAGAAGGGGCUUUUUU